rnacentral:rRNA from 1 species
AUUGAACGCUGGCGGCAUGCUUUACACAUGCAAGUCGAACGGUAACAGGUUAAGCUGACGAGUGGCGAACGGGUGAGUAAUGCAUCGGAACGUGCCCGGUCGUGGGGGAUAACGCAGCGAAAGCUGCGCUAAUACCGCACACGAUCUGAGGAUGAAAGCGGGGGACCGUAAGGCAUCGCGCGAUCGGAGCGGCCGAUGUCAGAUUAGGUAGUUGGUGGGGUAAAGGCUCACCAAGCCGACGAUCUGUAGCUGGUCUGAGAGGACGACCAGCCACACUGGUACUGAGACACGGCCCAGACUCCUACUGGAGGCAGCAGUGGGGAAUUUUGGACAAUGAGCGAAAGCCUGAUCCAGCAGUGCCGCGUGCAGGAAGAAGGCGUUCGGGUUGUAAACUGCUUUUGCACGGAGCGAAAAGGCUCUCUCUAAUACAAGGGGGUCAUGACGGUGCCGUAAAAAUAAGCACCGGCUAACUACGUGCCAGCAGCCGCCGCGG